CAGAUAGAUAGAUGGCACAAGAAUCCCUCUCCUGUGCCUCACCCAGUGAGAUGAGAAAACUGAAGAUCAGAGAGGCUGUAUGACAGACACCCAGAGUCAUCUACCUGCUGAGCAUCACCGUCAGGAUUUACACCCAGAUCUUUCUUGAUUCCAAGGCCAGGGUUCUUUCCACAAAGAUGUAGAAAGGUGGCUAGAGAAGUGAAGGGGUAGAUAAGUAGGGGGGAACCCUCUCAAACCUAUUUCAGGGAGACUUCUGGGAAGCAGGGUGUGAUUAACUUCUUAAAGGCAUGUCAUUAAAAUGAGCAAAGAUGAAUUUCUCACAUGAAGCUGAUGCAGCAUACUGCCAAGGAGACUGACAUUUUAAAUUUUCUUUUUGACAUGUACAAGUGGAGGAGGUGGUCUGGAACAGUGGAGAACAUACUGGAAGACUUGGGCUCUUCUCCAAUACCUACUACCUUUCUGACAUCGAGAAAAAAACAAAACAAA